AAGAGCUCCAUGGAGAUGCUUGGCUGCCUGUCCAGUUACUAUAGGGAGAACUCCUGGUGACCCCCAGAGAAGCUGUGGCAGCCCCACAAGGAGGAUCCUAAUAGACAGUGGGAAGCAGGAGCAUGGAGUCAUUAAAAAACCAUCACAGUUAUGUGAGUGACUGAGGCACAUGCUGGUGGAAAGAGCACUAGAGAGACUUCACGGACAUGGAUACAGGGCUCACGCAGGGUGCAGUGCAUGGUGAAGUUCUGGAAUGGUUGUUUACCUGCUGCCAUGAGCUCCACAACCUGGGGGAUGAAGCUGCCAAUGAAACUUUCUGCAUUGUCAUUCCAAUGUGUGCUCCUGUUGUAAGUAUACAAAAAUUUCCUCUUCUUACCAUGAUUCUAAAUUCCAGUCAAAUGAAAUUGUGUGUGUGUGUGUGUGUGUGUGUGUGUGUGUGUG